rnacentral:rRNA from 1 species
UACGUAGAGGGCGAGCGUUGUCCGGAUUCAUUGGGCGUAAAGCGCUCGCGGGUGGUCCGUCGCGUCGGGCGUGAAAGGCCCCGGCUCGACCGGGGAGGGUCGUGCGAUACGGGCGGACUGGAGGCCGGUAGGGGGAUGCGGAAUUCCGGGUGUAGUGGUGGAAUGCGUAGAGAUCCGGAGGAACACCAGCGGCGAAGGCGGCAUCCUGGACUGGUCCUGACACUCAGGAGCGAAAGCGCGGGGAGCGAUCCGG